GACGAACGCUGGCGGCGUGCUUAACACAUGCAAGUCGAACGGAAAGGCCCCUUUGGGGGUACUCGAGUGGCGAACGGGUGAGUAACACGUGAGUAACCUGCCCUUGACUUCGGGAUAACUUCAGGAAACUGGGGCUAAUACCGGAUAGGAAUCCUUGCUGCAUGGUGGGGGUUGGAAAGCUUCGGCGGUUUUGGAUGGACUCGCGGCUUAUCAGCUUGUUGGUGGGGUAGUGGCUUACCAAGGCUUUGACGGGUAGCCGGCCUGAGAGGGCGACCGGCCACAUUGGGACUGAGAUGAGGCCCAGACUCCUACGGGAGGCAGCAGUGGGGAAUAUUGCACCAUGGGCGGAAGCCUGAUGCAGCAACGCCGCGUGCGGGAUGACGGCCUUCGGGUUGUAAACCGCUUUCAGCAGGGGCGAAGCUUGUGGUGACGGUACCUGCAGAAGAAGCACCGGCUAACUACGUG
rnacentral:rRNA from 1 species